AGAGUUUGAUCAUGGCUCAGGACAAACGCUGGCGGCGUGCCUAAAACAUGCAAGUCGAACGGAGUGGCUUCGGUCACUCAGUGGCAGACGGCUGAGUAACACGUGAGUAACCUGCCCGGACGUGGGGAAUAACCCCGAGAAAUCGGGGCUAAUACCGCAUGUGGUGUCUAGGUGAGUGCCUGGACAAGAAAGCCUUCGGGCGCGUUCGGAGGGGCUCGCGGCCCAUCAGCUAGUUGGUGGGGUAAUGGCCUACCAAGGCGAUGACGGGUAGCUGGUCUGAGAGGAUGAUCAGCCAGACUGGGACUGGGACACGGCCCAGACUCCUACGGGAGGCAGCAGUUAGGAAUCUUGCGCAAUGGGCGAAAGCCUGACGCAGCGACGCCGCGUGGAGGACGAAGGCCUUCGGGUUGUAAACUCCUUUUGUCGGGGAAGAGACAAGGACGGUACCCGACGAAGAAGCCCCGGCUUACUACGUGCCAGCAGCCGCGGUAAUACGUAGGGGGCGAGCGUUGUCCGGAUUUACUGGGCGUAAAGCGCGCGUAGGCGGUCUUGCGCGUCGGUGGUGAAAGCCUGCGGCUCAACCGCAGGAGGCCCGCCGAUACGGCAAGGCUGGAGGGCGGCAGAGGAAGGUGGAAUUCCCGGUGUAGUGGUGAAAUGCGUAGAGAUCGGGAGGAACACCAGUGGCGAAGGCGGCCUUCUGGGCCGUUCCUGACGCUGAGGCGCGAAAGC
rnacentral:rRNA from 1 species